GGUGGUGAUUACUGUGAGGCCACACCUGUUCCCAUCCCGAACACAGAAGUUAAGCUCACUUGUGCCGAAAAUACUUGACUGGAGACGGUCUGGAAAGAUAGGUUGCUGCCG
rnacentral:rRNA from 1 species